GAUAUGGUGACUUGCGAGAUUGCCAGCAAAAUAAUUAUAUGAUGACAUGGAGUACUUGGCUCUAAGAGUCAAGACAUCUUAGAUGAGGAGUAUUUGGCUCAAGAUAUAAACUGCAAAGUUGGCACAAAGAUCUCGAAUCAUAGAGUAUUCUUGAAAAGAGUCUAUAUCAUGACACAGAGGCACACAUGAGCCUCACGGUUGAUCCUAAAGCAUUGCUUAUGUGGGUACUCGAGAGUGUCGUAUGU
rnacentral:lncRNA from 1 species